CCUGCGCCAACGUAGCCCCGGGGGCGGUGUGUGGCGCCGGACCCGCACCCUCUGCUCCCGGGGGUGGAGCUGACCUGCUUGCCCGCGUUGGGCUCGGGAGCCUGCGGGCCGCGGCCAGGAGGGAGCUGGCUGGCCGUCCCGGCGGUGGGGCUGUGGCGGUGGCCGUCCCGCGGGUGUGCCCGUGCUCGGAUCGAUGAUGACACCCACAAACGCAUUCCUUGGAAAAUCUGAACAAAAUGAGUGAGAACUCACUACCGUCUCCUCAUCGCAAACUGAGGUCCGGCACGUGGCUCCCACAGGGGACGUCGGGGGAGGGUCCCGUUGCCUUGGCUCCCUUGGCUGCUGUGGCGGAGAGACGGAGGCCAGCGCGGGGAGCGGAAGCCGGAGCCUGUCG
rnacentral:lncRNA from 1 species